rnacentral:lncRNA from 1 species
GUUUAAUCACAUUGUUUGAUCUGCAACCGUUUUCCCACAGAAUUCCCUGCUUUACCUGACCCUGGCGACCUUGAUCGGGAAAACUUCUACUGAGAUUCUUUUCCCCAGACGUGGAUUUAGCAGAUGAGGGCGUUGGCCCAUGACCAUGCUGCUACCCAGCCUUCGUCCUGAGAUUCGUCCCCGUCUGUGGAUGUGAGGACUCAGACUACUCUCGCCGGGGACCUUUGUCACUGUAGCGGGAGAAUGGUGAGAAAGCCGUCCCGCUUUGCAUGGGGGCUCCCACUGCACAUCUGGCACCCACCUCACAGGUGAACCUUCCCGCUCCUAAAUGAUGACUGGUAAGAAAAACAAGAUGUCUUUCUUGGUUAUAAAUUUAACUCUUCUAUGAUUA